AGUGAACGCUGACGGUAGGCCUAACACAUGCAAGUCGAACGGCAGCACAGUAAGAGCUUGCUCUUACGGGUGGCGAGUGGCGGACGGGUGAGGAAUACAUCGGAAUCUACUUUUUCGUGGGGGAUAACGUAGGGAAACUUACGCUAAUACCGCAUACGACCUACGGGUGAAAGCAGGGGAUCUUCGGACCUUGCGCGAUUGAAUGAGCCGAUGUCGGAUUAGCUAGUUGGCGGGGUAAAGGCCCACCAAGGCGACGAUCCGUAGCUGGUCUGAGAGGAUGAUCAGCCACACUGGAACUGAGACACGGUCCAGACUCCUAAGGGAGGCAGCAGUGGGGAAUAUUGGACAAUGGGCGCAAGCCUGAUCCAGCCAUACCGCGUGGGUGAAGAAGGCCUUCGGGUUGUAAAGCCCUUUUGUUGGGAAAGAAAAGCAGCAGGUUAAUACCCCGCUGUUCUGACGGUACCCAAAGAUUAAGCACCGGCUAACUUCGUG
rnacentral:rRNA from 1 species